rnacentral:rRNA from 1 species
CUGGCUCAGGAUGAACGCUGGCGGCAUGCCUAAGACAUGCAAGUCGAACGAGGUGGCCCUUGAAGGAUGCGUGCUGCACAAAUCCGGAUAAGGAUUUCCACCUAGUGGCAGACGGGUGAGUAACACGUGGGUGACCUACCUUUAAGUUGGGGAUAACAGUUGGAAACGAUUGCUAAUACCGAAUAAGAUAUAACUGGUCGUGGUUAUAUUGAAAGGAGCCUUUAAAGCUUCGCUUAGAAAUGGGCCUGCGGUGUAUUAACUUGGUUGGUGGGGUAAUGGCCUACCAAGGUUACGAUGCAUAGCCGGACUGAGAGGUUGAACGGCCACACUGGGACUGAGACACGGCCCAGACUCCUACGGGAGACAGCAGUUAGGAAUAUUCGUCAAUGGGGGAAACCCUGAACGAGCAAUGCCGCGUGAGUGAUGAAGGUCUUUGGAUUGUAAAACUCUGUUGUAUGGAAAAAACGACUAGGUUAGGAAAUGAACUUAGUGUGAUGGUACCAUACCAGAAAGCCCCGGCUAACUACGUGCCAGCAGCCGC